CUGUUACAAAAAUCUUCUGGCAAAUAUGUUCAACCAAGCUCAGACUUUGGUGCCUCCUACUGUUUCCUGGUUUUGCAGGACAGUGAGGAUAAAGUUCAUGAAAGAGUGAAUUUUGUAUGUCUAUCAGAAGAAGAUUGAGAGGAAAAAGGAGGUAGAGAGAAGAACAAUAGAAGGUGAUGGUUUCACUAUUUCAACUAUUUCAAGUCUCUGCAAAAAAAGCUACUGUGGGUUUGAGAUUGCCGUGGAUGAUUCAAAGCUACUGUUUCAAGCCGGAGCAUGGACAACAUAUGAGAACAAAAGCCUUCUGUACUCCCUUGUAUUUUGGGGCUUUUUUUAGUUUUUUUAACGUAGAAAAAUAAAACAUAACAGAGUUAGCCUUGUUAUAAAUUGAAGGACGCGUAUCAAGCAAAUAUGGAGGAACAUAGAGGGGACUGAAUUUUGGGCACAGCAGAUCCGAUCUUUGUUAGUUUGCUGGUAGGUGAACCACGUGGAUUUUUGUGUGUGGA